GCGCACAGAAUUUUAUGUUACACAUGAUUAUGUACUCUUUUUUCCUUUGACCAGUUUUUGUCCCACUGGGUUUUUACUGGCAAGGUUUUUAACGAGGCAUAUUCCAUAUCAUUUGUGGUCUCCAAGGGGGAGUGUUGUAAAUAUAUUAGGUGGAGCCCACCUGAAGCUUCCUCGAAGCUUCCUCCAAUUGGAAGCUUCCUCCACCCUUUCAUUGUAUAUACACAUUUGCAGAACAAUGAGAAUACGAUCUGAUAGGAAUGAUCAAGAUCAGUUUUCUCUUCCUCUCUCUCUCUCUCAAUUUUUUGUCUCUCCAAUUCCUCUAGUUUAUAACAUUUGUUAAUUAAUUAGUCUUCUUUCUUGUAGGUAUUUUGAAGUAGAUGGAUGGAUUCAUCCUUAUUUCACAUGUCUUUUUUUAACACAAGCAAGAAGUGUUGUAUGGAAUGAUACAGUUUGGUUAAUGAAGCUAAAUUAUCUUUUUUGUGGUUAUAGUUUUUCUCUGCUCUUGUAUGGAAUGAUAUAGUUUGGUUAAUGGAGCUAAAUUUUUGGCAACCACGAUAGUUUUGUCUGUACUUUUUGGUUGUUGCUCUUGUCGCUAUCUCUGUUUAGCCAUCUUUUCUGGCUUUCAAUGAAGUUUCAGGUAUUGACAAAAAAAAGAACAUGUCAAUUGAGCUAAGUUUUUUGCUCUCUUUUAUUUCCCAUGUUAUUUGAACAGCCCAAUGAAGCAUCUAAGUAAAUAUUUAUAUUUUGUUCUCGAAUGGACCCAUAGGAUUAUAAUUGUUCAGUGAAGUUCUUCCGAUCACUAUUUUCUAGUUCAAGAAUGAAAGAUGCCAGAUGUAAAUGGAUCACUAAAGAAAUAUUUUGCCUAUUCACACCAAAAAAAAAAAAAAAUCCCUACAGUUGCAAGGUUUAUUCGUGGGCAUGUGUUUUUGUAACAGGUGGAUCAUAUAAUUUUGCCUAGAUAAAUAUACAGUGUUAAUUAUUUCUUACUUGAUGAAAGGAAAAAAAUUACUAGAAAUGUAGUGCAACUUAGAAAAUUAACUAUAAAGAAAAAGAAAUAAGGUAGGGUGAGGGUAAAAUUGGAAAGAGAAAAAAGAAAAAAGACAACGUUGAUUAAAAAGUAUUAAAAAGCAAAAAGGAGUGCAAAUGGAGAAAAAUGGAGUGGGAAAAUCAACUCCCUUAAAUUUUAUAAAAUAUUCAACGCCCAAAUUAAUUUUGAAGCCCAAUUGGCUUCCACUUGGCCCGACUUCCAUUUACUAAGUGUGGGACUUCCACACUUAUAAAGACCUCUGUUGAGGCCC
rnacentral:lncRNA from 1 species